rnacentral:rRNA from 1 species
UACGUAGGGGGCAAGCGUUGUCCGGAAUCAUUGGGCGUAAAGAGCGUGUAGGCGGCCAGAUAAGUCCGCUGUGAAAUCUCGAGGCUCAACUUCGAGCUGUCGGUGGAAACUGUCUGGCUAGAGUCCGGAAGAGGAGAAUGGAAUUCCUGGUGUAGCGGUGAAAUGCGCAGAUAUCAGGAGGAACACCAGUGGCGAAGGCGACUUCCUGGCCUGUUCUUGACGCUGAGGCGCGAAAGCUAGGGGAGCAAACGGG